GUUGCUGUGGCGGAUCUAUUCUACUGCGGCAGUCGGCUGGGGCAGAAGUUUAUAGUUCGUAUUUAAGUUUAUAUUUUGAUUAUCUGAUGGUUUUGCACAAGUGUAUCCUGAAGGUAUUAGUCAUUGAAGAAGAAACUAAACGGAGACCUCUGCCUGUGAGGAUACAGUUUGAUUGUUGAUAUCUCUGUCAUUCAUCUGACUUCAAUACACCACAUAACACCCACAAACCUGUGUUUUCAUUAUUUGUGCUCUGACCGGCACCCAGUGGGUUUACUCAAUUUCAUGACUUCAAAUCCUAACCUCUGUAACAACAUUUCUCCACACACACACACACACACACACACACACACACACACACACGAGAGAGAAGAUUGAAGGCUCCUCCACAGCACCGCACAGAGCAGUAAAACGUCAAACGCGACACAGCGCCAAACAUCUGCGUCGUACCCAGACUGAUGUGCUACUCUGAUCGAGCACCUUCAGGCCCAGGCCGAGAGAUUUCGCCUUGUCCGGAUUUCCACAGUUUAAUUUGCGUACCCGAUUUACGCAAGAUGCCGCCGGACUACGAUACAAAAUCUGCUGCUAUGAGCUCAAUAUUCAAAACAGGUAAGGAGAGUCUUUGCACCACUUGCUACAUACAAGCCACCACAACGGAUGAAAGAACGGAAGUAAAAGAUGUUGAGCCCUUUUUAAAGUGGCCGUAAGCUUCUCAUUCGUCCGCUCCCUUCUACCCACACAAGAUAAUCGGCCUCAACCCAUUACACCUGCAUCAACAGUAUGGAGUGCAGGAUCAAACUGGCUUUGCUUGUUCAGUCUCAACAGUCUCACAGCUUUGAUUUCUUACUCAAAUAUAAGCAUUUGCUUCAAUGCACAACCUCUUUUGGCUCUUUUCGUGUUUGUAUUUAGUUUGGAGUGAAACUUAAGCCUGGAUUUCACUGGGACACAUGUGUCUGUGUACAUCUGUUUCAGCAUUAAGAUGCAUGUAAACAGGUGAACCCUUCAAACAAGCUUGUGCUGGCAGUUGAGCUCUUCACUAUUGACUGCAGAUCAACUGCAAUGCAUGCUGGGAGUCAUGACUGUGGACCCUUUACGGUGUGCUUAAAGGAAGCCGCUUCGUUAAACUCAAGGGCGAGACUGGAGCGAUCGUCCUGGCAGAGCAGUGCUCCUUUGGAUAUUUUUGUUACCUGAUUAAUUUCUUCCCUUUCAAUGUUAGUUCCUACCUUAUGUUAUUUAAAUAAAACCCUAGAACGAGCUUUGUGUUGUCUGCCUCUUAAUGUUAUGGCAGUGGCCGUAAAAUGUGGCCGUAAAAUGAAAAGUGGUAGAUUUUGUCUAAAUAUGAAUUGUUUCAAUGUUAUUUUUAGAUAAUAAUUUAAAAGAUCUCUUAAUGGAGACCCUACAGAAGUCUCUUGAGGAGAAUCAAGUAAAUGAUGCUUUUAUGAUCACACUGUCACAAGAUUUUAUAAUCACUAAACAAUUUCUCCCAGAAAUAAUCUCACAUCUUUAUAGACACAGAAGCAAGUGAUUUGCGUUAUGAGUCAAUGCAAAUGCAUCUAAUGACAGACAUUAGGAAAAACACUUACGUGAUACAUCAUUUGCAUAGAUAAGUGAAAGUCUGAAUUCCAUUCACUUGAUGGU